rnacentral:rRNA from 1 species
GUGGGGAAUCUUCCGCAAUGGGCGAAAGCCUGACGGAGCAACGCCGCGUGAGUGAUGACGGCCUUCGGGUUGUAAAGCUCUGUUAUAUGGGACGAACGGGCAUGGGGCCAAUACCCUCAUGCAGUGACGGUACCGUAAGAGAAAGCCACGGCUAACUACGUGCCAGCAGCCGCGGUAAUACGUAGGUGGCAAGCGUUGUCCGGAAUUAUUGGGCGUAAAGGGCGUGUAGGCGGCCAGACAAGUCUGUCUUAAAAGUGCGGGGCUCAACCCCGUGAUGGGAUGGAAACUGUCGGGCUAGAGUGUCGGAGAGGAAAGCGGAAUUCCUAGUGUAGCGGUGAAAUGCGUAGAUAUUAGGAGGAACACCAGUGGCGAAAGCGGCUUUCUGGACGACAACUGACGCUGAGGCGCGAAAGCCAGGGGAGCAAACGGGAUUAGAAACCCGGGUAGUCC